GACGUCACCGCGGGCGUGUUCCCUGGCAGCUUGGAAAAAAAAAAUAAUAAUAAUAAUAAAAAAAAUUCGCAUUCUAUUAUCGCGUUGUGUUGUUAUCGUCAUAAUAUAAUAUCGUAUAAGAAACCGAACUGGUCGAGGGUAAGUUUAAUAUUAUAUAGGCGGUAGGUACCUCAUAUACGCACGCAUAUAAAUAUACAUAUGUGUGUGCACACGUGUACGUAUUUUUUUUUUAUUUUUUUUUUUCCG